rnacentral:rRNA from 1 species
GAGCUUGCUCUUAUGAAGUUAGCGGCGGACGGGUGAGUAACACGUGGGUAACCUGCCCAUAAGACUGGGAUAACUCCGGGAAACCGGGGCUAAUACCGGAUAACAUUUUGAACCGCAUGGUUCGAAAUUGAAAGGCGGCUUCGGCUGUCACUUAUGGAUGGACCCGCGUCGCAUUAGCUAGUUGGUGAGGUAACGGCUCACCAAGGCAACGAUGCGUAGCCGACCUGAGAGGGUGAUCGGCCACACUGGGACUGAGACACGGCCCAGACUCCUACGGGAGGCAGCAGUAGGGAAUCUUCCGCAAUGGACGAAAGUCUGACGGAGCAACGCCGCGUGAGUGAUGAAGGCUUUCGGGUCGUAAAACUCUGUUGUUAGGGAAGAACAAGUGCUAGUUGAAUAAGCUGGCACCUUGACGGUACCUAACCAGAAAGCCACGGCUAACUACGUGCCAGCAGCCGCGGUAAUACGUAGGUGGCAAGCGUUAUCCGGAAUUAUUGGGCGUAAAGCGCGCGCAGGUGGUUUCUUAAGUCUGAUGUGAAAGCCCACGGCUCACCCGUGGAGGGUCAUUGGAAACUGGGAGACUUGAGUGCAGAAGAGGAAAGUGGAAUUCCAUGUGUAGCGGUGAAAUGCGUAGAGAUAUGGAGGAACACCAGUGGCGAAGGCGACUUUCUGGUCUGUAACUGACACUGAGGCGCGAAAGCGUGGGGAGCAAACAGGAUUAGAU